UGCAGUCGAACGGUAACAUUUCUAGCUUGCUAGAAGAUGACNGAGUGGCGGACGGGUGAGUAAUGCUUGGGAACUUGCCUUUAGGAGGGGGAUAACAGUUGGAAACGACUGCUAAUACCGCAUAAUGUCUACGGACCAAAGGGGGCUUCGGCUCUCACCUAAAGAGAGGCCCAAGUGAGAUUAGCUAGUUGGUAAGGUAAAAGCUUACCAAGGCGACGAUCUCUAGCUGUUCUGAGAGGAAGAUCAGCCACACUGGGACUGAGACACGGCCCAGACUCCUACGGGAGGCAGCAGUGGGGAAUAUUGCACAAUGGGGGAAACCCUGAUGCAGCCAUGCCGCGUGUGUGAAGAAGGCCUUCGGGUUGUAAAGCACUUUCAGUUGUGAGGAAAGGUUGGUAGUUAAUACCUGCCAGCUGUGACGUUAACAACAGAAGAAGCACCGGCUAACUCCGUGCCAGCAGCCGCGGUAAUACGGAGGGUGCGAGCGUUAAUCGGAAUUACUGGGCGUAAAGCGCACGCAGGCGGUUUGUUAAGCUAGAUGUGAAAGCCCCGGGCUCAACCUGGGAUGGUCAUUUAGAACUGGCAGACUAGAGUCUUGGAGAGGGGAGUGGAAUUCCAGGUGUAGCGGUGAAAUGCGUAGAUAUCUGGAGGAACAUCAGUGGCGAAGGCGGCUCCCUGGCCAAAGACUGACGCUCAUGUGCGAAAGUGUGGGUAGCGAACAGGAUUAGAUACCCUGGUAGUCCACACCGUAAACGCUGUCUACUAGCUGUUUGUGAAUUUAAUUCGUGAGUAGCGAAGCUAACGCGAUAAGUAGACCGCCUGGGGAGUACGGCCGCAAGGUUAAAACUCAAAUGAAUUGACGGGGGCCCGCACAAGCGGUGGAGCAUGUGGUUUAAUUCGAUGCAACGCGAAGAACCUUACCUACACUUGACAUGCAGAGAACUUUCCAGAGAUGGAUUGGUGCCUUCGGGA
rnacentral:rRNA from 1 species